UACGGGGGGCGAAGCGUUGUUCGGAAUUACUGGGCGUAAAGGGCUCGUAGGUGGCCAACUAAGUCAGACGUGAAAUCCCCCGGCUUAACCUGGGAACUGCGUCUGAUACUGGAGGCUUGAGUAUGGGAGAGGGAUGUAGAAUUCCAGGUGUAGCGGUGAAAUGCGUAGAUAUCUGGAGGAAUACCGGUGGCGAAGGCGGCAUCCUGGACCGGCAUUGACGCUGAGGAGCGAAAGCCAGGGGAGCAAAGCGGG
rnacentral:rRNA from 1 species